GACGAACGCUGGCGGCGUGCUUAACACAUGCAAGUCGAACGGAAAGGCCCUGCGCUUGUGCCUUUCUCGAUUGGCGAACGCGUGAGUGACACGUGAGUAACCUGCCCUUGUCUGUGGGAUAACUUCACGGAACUCCGGCUAAUAUCGGAUAUGAGCUCCUGCUGCACGUUGGUGGUUGGAAAGUUUCGGCUGUUGGGGAUAGACUCGCGGCUUAUCAGCUUGUUUGUCGGGUAGUGGCUUACCAAGGGUUUGACGGGUAGCCGGCCUGGGAGGGUGACCGGGCACAAUGGGCCUGAGAUACGGAGCAGAAUCCAACGGGCGGCAGCAGUGGGGAAUAUUACACAGUGGGGGCAAGCCUGAUGCGGCAACGCCCGGUGCGGGAUGCCGGCCUUCGGGUUAUAAACCGCUUUCGAAUGUGACGAAGCGUGAGUGACGGUAAUGGGUCAAGAAGCCCCGGCUAACUACGUG
rnacentral:rRNA from 1 species